ensembl:lincRNA
CCAGCAAAGAGCCACUUGACACCUGGCUGGGGACAAGCACAUAGUUGCCUUUUCCUCUGCCAGGGAGCCUGCCAUGCAGCCACCAAGGGCAGGCAAGGGUGAAAAGGGACGGCUUCCAGGGCCUUUUAUUCUGAAGAAAACCUCCGUGUGGAAGAUGGCUAAUCUUUCUUACAGUGAAGAUUGAAAGCCUUCUGGUUCUCCCAGUCACGACCUAAAUGACACUUCUUCCAGGAAGCCUUCGCUGGCCUGGAUGAAUGGGGAGGUAGAGCUCCCUGUGUGAUGGGCAGCAAAGGACCCAGCUGUUUGACAGUCUCACCCAAGGAGGAACGCAGUACGGAGUCCCCGUCUUCAGGCAGAGCCAACAGUGGAGACGAGCACAUGCUGUCCCGCUGUGCUCACAGCUCCAUGAGCAAUAGCAGGCUCCCAAC